GACUCCGGAUUUUUCACAGGGAGGCCUAGUGGGCCAAGACAUUUGGUUUGCGGUUGACCUCCUCUACAAGCCCCAUCCUCCUGCCGUGACUGACUUGGAGCGCAGAGGACAGCAGCCGUCCGUGUAAGGCCUCUAGCUGCGCGUUGUAAAGUAAAGCUUUCAGAUCAGCCCCCGUGAAGGAGUCGGUCACUGAGGCCACGUGCUGAAGGUCCACGUCAUCUGCCAGAGUUAUUACCCUGUAAGCCUUCCACUCCAUCCAACUGAGUCAGCAACUGGUUAACCACGCGGUCUGUAACCCCUGUGUUAUCAUGGCCUCGCCGAGGAGCAAUGGAUUCAAAUUCAUCAAAGAAAAGAAUGCAGGGCUUGGCCGCCUGCGCUCU